UACGACCACUUCACUUAGAACCACCGGUUCCCGAACGAACAGAUAAGUUAAGCAACGUCGAGCCUGGUCAGUGCGUAGAUGAGUGACCGCUUGGAAAUACCAGGUGCUGUAAG